AUCUGCUGUGGAGCAGUAGCCCGCGUUCUUCCUGUCGUAGGUGGGGACGCCUCCUUCCCACCCACUUCCAGGCCUGCUUUGGUAGCUUUGUCCAAGAGACUCUGCCGGUUUGGGAUACAGUGAUGACAGGUGUGGCUGUGAAUCGUCACCCAGCCCCACAGUGUGGCGCCAGGGACCCAGGGAAGCCGCUGAAACCCUCUCCGUUCUCUCCCAUGGCGCCCUCUGCCGGUGGACCUGUGACAGAAGGUUCUGGAGAAGGCCCGCUGGAGUGUGGGCUGCUGCGGACCUGACCCGAGGGUACCAACCGGGAAACGUACGCUGCUGGGUCCUCUGCUCAGCUGUGAGAGGAGCUUGGUAACUGCUCAGCCAGCGUGAAACCAAGUCCACGAAACUAAACGGCUGUCAAAGAAAGCAUGUGAAAAGCCCUCGAAAGAGCAAGAACGCAUCUCUCUUUCACCACGGGCCUAGAAGGCCAGGGCUCAGAAACUUGCAGAAGCCUGCCCUAGGGCAGAGGACCGGGGUCGAUGGAGAGAUCACAGCCAGUUCUCUCUGCCGGCAAAGCCUGUGCUAAGCGGUUGUGCAGAAUGAGGAGGGCAUCACCCUGCACUGUAGGUGAAGAGGUGAAGACAGUGGCGGUGGACUAACCAGAUCCGAAGCUAUCCUGCGAUCUGUUCCCACUGGACUCUGCCCCAGCCCCUGGCCUUCAGGAGUGAGGCUGGUCCCUCGAGGGAUGGCAAGGGCAGUGCGCAAAGGUUGGACCCAGAAAGUGCUCAAAUCUGCGCGCUGAAGGGAGAAAGCUUAGAACUCUCUCGGGCUCCUGCUGUGAUCUGGAGUCCAUCCAUUGCCCUGGAAGGGAAGCCACUUUCUGAAAGAGUUCCUGCAGCAAUCAGCCUGUCCAAAUCCGUAGACUAUUCCUCAAAGAAGCAGCUGGAUUUGGCUUUGGUUCUUUGGUGUGGUCGAUCUGCCUGGACCGGUCAGGAUCUGGGAAGUCUGGUCUCAGGUGGAAACCUGGGAGCAGCCAGGGACUCCAGGACAGCCAUGGUUCUUCAGUUAAGCUGACGGGGCCUCCCUCCACUGGCCUCAGCGUGUGUCCUGCCUGCAGAUCUCCCCCAACCCUGACGUCUGACCUAACCCCCAGAGUCCUUCCUAAUGCUUGGCGGGGAACUGGAGACAGGGUGUGCAGAGGCCAGCCGUGGUCAGCGUAAGGGAAGUGCUCUAGGAAGCCCCAAUUCCCGCCCUGUCUUGUACAUCUUAACAUCCGAGCAUUCAGACCCUGAAAUGCCCCCGUGGCCACCUUCAUGAGCACGAGCUGAGCGGCCGGCCGAGCUGGGCUUGGACUGGUGUUUGUAAACACAGAACGAACGAAAUCACGUUUGCCGAACUGAGACAAAGCCACUUUCCUCCGCUCCUUUAGAGUCGCGAACACUUUCAUUUUCAGGGUUGCUCGCGGUUGGCCGCAGGUCUGGGAAAUCACGGCGCUUCAGGAGGAAUCCCUCCCUGGGAAGGGGCCUGGGGACAGGAGCCAGUCACACGGAAAGCACAGAUGUCCGAGGGGAGGCCUGGGUGAAAAAGGAGCUCUGCCCCGGGUGCCGGGCGGGCUGCUUGGGGUUCGCCACAGGACUUUCCCGCGAACCUAGAAAUGCAUAGCUGGUUUUUACACCCUGGGGGAGGCAAGCGGGAGCGCGUUGGUCCCGCAGGCUUCCCCUUCCCACCUCGCACAUCGCGAGCACUAAGCACUAGCCCAUUCGCUGCAGCCGGGUUCCUGGAAACAGCACCCCACCCAGCCUCAUCCUCCGAAACGGGCCGCAAGCCGUUUGCAGACUGCGUUAUCCGGAUCCUCACAGUCUCCGUCUCAAAUGCCCCAAACUUAAGAGCCAGAUCGAAACACCACGGGGUUUCGGAAAGGGGGGGGCUAUGCCAGACCAGGGAGGCACCCGAGUGGGUAGGAAUGACGGACGCUUCGGAGCCCUGUGCUUUGCCCGGCGUCUGGGGGACGCACGGGGCAGGGCGUCGGCGGGGUUAUGCAGGUGUGGCCGGCCGCAGAGCGAGCUCCCCCCCCCCCCAAGGCCUUGCGUCCCCGGGGCUGAGGCUUCCCAUCAAUGGGAGAGACACGCAGGCUGUUGACCCAGCGGCCUCCCUCUCUCGGCCUAUUGUCGCGGCUCAAUCACGCACUUACCGGAAGAAAAGCGAGUUUAUCUUA